rnacentral:rRNA from 1 species
AGUGAACGCUGGCGGUAGGCCUAACACAUGCAAGUCGAACGGCAGCACAGUAAGAGCUUGCUCUUACGGGUGGCGAGUGGCGGACGGGUGAGGAAUACAUCGGAAUCUACUUUUUCGUGGGGGAUAACGUAGGGAAACUUACGCUAAUACCGCAUACGACCUACGGGUGAAAGCAGGGGAUCUUCGGACCUUGCGCGAUUGAAUGAGUCGAUGUCGGAUUAGCUAGUUGGCGGGGUAAAGGCCCACCAAGGCGACGAUCCGUAGCUGGUCUGAGAGGAUGAUCGGCCACACUGGAACUGAGACACGGUCCAGACUCCUACGGGAGGCAGCAGUGGGGAAUAUUGGACAAUGGGCGCAAGCCUGAUCCAGCCAUACCGCGUGGGUGAAGAAGGCCUUCGGGUUGUAAAGCCCUUUUGUUGGGAAAGAAAAGCAGCAGGUUAAUACCCCGCUGUUCUGACGGUACCCAAAGAAUAAGCACCGGCUAACUUCGUG